rnacentral:rRNA from 1 species
UCUACGGGAGGCAGCAGUGAGGAAUAUUGGUCAAUGGGCGCGAGCCUGAACCAGCCAAGUAGCGUGAAGGAUGACUGCCCUACGGGUUGUAAACUUCUUUUAUAAAGGAAUAAAGUGAGGCACGUGUGCCUUUUUGUAUGUACUUUAUGAAUAAGGAUCGGCUAACUCCGUGCCAGCAGCCGCGGUAAUACGGAGGAUCCGAGCGUUAUCCGGAUUUAUUGGGUUUAAAGGGAGCGUAGAUGGGUUGUUAAGUCAGUUGUGAAAGUUUGCGGCGCAACCGUAAAAUGGCAAUUGAUACUGGCAGUCUUGAGUACAGUUGAGGUAGGCGGAAUUCGUUGUGUAGCGGGGAAAUGCUUAGAUAUCACGAAGAACUCCGAUUGCGAAGGCAGCUUACUAAACUGCCACUGACAUUGAUGCUCGAAAGUGUGGGUAUCAAACAGGAUUAGAUACGCCUGUAGUC